UUGGCAUUUAAACAGAAUCACACUCUGUUUAAGUAUUUAUACUGCCUUUGGCUUGCUGUAUUAUUGUGCAUUUAUUAAUAAGCCCUUGUGCUUACAUUUUGACUUGAGAAAACUCUGUGCACUUUGGAAGAAAUGCUAUACCCAUUGAAGUCAAUGGGAGAUUUGCCAUCAACUACAAGAGCGUCAGGAUUUCACCCUUUUGAGUUUUUCUUCACAAAGAGAGUUAGAAGCUCUUCAGAAAUCUUUCAGUCCUGUAAGCCUUCAUUAUUCAUCCAUUAAAAAAAAAAAAAAAAAAAAAAAUCUAGGGGAAGAGGUUAAGCUAAAAAAAAAAAAAAAAAAGUGGGUCUGGCUUUAUAUUGUCAACACACUCAUAGAUCUCCAAGUUGGACUGGCUCUGGCACAGAACAUGCUAGGACUAAGAUUCUCAAAUUACUCACAGAAUACAUGACAGCAUGUAAAAGCUACUGAAAUAUAAAGAUUUUGGCCCAAAGCUACAGUCAGGGUCUAUUGGGUUCACAGUUCUGCCAGAUCUCUUUUGCUAAAAGCUGUCAUGUACCAUGUUGCCAUGAACGCUCCCAGUGGUGUGUUUGCGCUUCUGCUCCCUCCAACACUAUGUGGAAGCCACAAAGAUUCAUAGAUAAGAUGCAGCAUUAAAAAAAAAAAAAAAAAAAAAAAAAAAAGUCCAAAGUUGGAUCUUUCAGAUUAAGAUUCAUCACGUAUUAUGUGAGUUUCUAAAAACCUUUCACAAAAGCAGAAAAAUUUUACUAAAAAACCUUCCACAGAUCUAAGAAUUUCUCAUGAAGAAAUUCUAAUAGAAAGUGAAAUAUUUAGAAAAUUGAGCUCUUUAACUUUAAACCUUCAAUUUCUCAAAAAAAAAGGGGGGACUAAAAAGUGCUGGGAAGACCACUGUGUACUUUUCAGUGUCCUGGUUAUUCUGCCAAAGAAAUCUAGGGCAAAUUUAUUUUAGUUAAACAUUUAUUUGGUGGUCACUGUUUUUACAAUGAUUAUUUUGCUAUCCUCACCAUUAACCCUUUGUUUCUCUGAAUGCAAGCACGUGUCACAAUAUUAAUCUACAAAGAGGUGUAUGGAAGUGUUGUUUGUUAAAGAUAAAUUGCAGAACUAGCUUUCAUGGUUCAAAAUCUUGGGUUUUGCAGCUCAGUAUAAUUUAAGCCAUGAACCAUUCCCACUGCUCUAUAGUGAAUUACAAAACAUAUCAAUCCCCGUUACCCCAAAGAAACGAAGUAAUAACAUGUAAGAUGAAAAACAGUGAAAAUCAUACCUGACCAAUUUGGUGGCACUCUAUGAUGGAGUGACCACAUCAGCUGACAAUGGAAGACCAACCAAUGUCAUCUACCUGGACUUCUGUAAGGCCCACAUAAUAUCCAGAUCUCUAAAUUGGAGAGAGAUGGAUUUGAUGGACAGACCAUUCAAUGGAUAAGGAGUUGUCUUGAAGGUUGCACCUAGAGACUGGUGGUCAAUGGCUCUAUGUCCAGGUGGAGACCGGUGACUAGUGGUGUCUCUCAGGGGCCUAUUCUGUGACCUGUUUUAUAUCUUUAUCUACAACAUAGACAAUGGGAUCAAGUCCACCCUCAGCAAGUUUGCAGAUGACACCAAGCUGAGAGGUGCAGUUGAUACAACAGAAGGAAGGGAUGCUAUCCAAAGGGACCUGGACAAGCUUGAGAAGAGGGCCC